rnacentral:sRNA from 1 species
GCGAUGAGCUGAGUUGGAUAAGUCGGCGGGCACUCCUCCGGGAAAUGCACGAUGUGGCGUGCAGCCCGCCGCCCCAAUACGCAAGGACGCCCUUUAUGGGCGUCCU